rnacentral:rRNA from 1 species
UACGGGGGGAGCAAGCGUUGUUCGGAUUUACUGGGCGUAAAGGGCGCGUAGGCGGCCACCGCAAGUCAGUUGUGAAAUCUCUGGGCUUAACCCAGAAAGGUCAACUGAUACUGCGGGGCUAGAGUGCAGAAGGGGCAACUGGAAUUCUCGGUGUAGCGGUGAAAUGCGUAGAUAUCGAGAGGAACACCUGCGGCGAAGGCGGGUUGCUGGGCUGACACUGACGCUGAAGCGCGAAAGCAUGGGGAGCGAACAGG